rnacentral:rRNA from 1 species
AAUCAACGCUGGCGGCGUGCCUCAGACAUGCAAGUCGAACGUGAAAGUCCCCCUCGGGGGACAAGUAGAGUGGCGCACGGGUGAGUAACACGUAGGUAAUCUACCUUCGGGUGGGGAAUAACAAUCGGAAACGGUUGCUAAUACCGCAUAAUGCAGCGGCACCUAAUGGUGACAGUUGUUAAAGCGGGGGAUCGCAAGAUCUCGCGCCUGAAGAGGAGCCUGCGGCGGAUUAGCUAGUUGGUAGGGUAAUGGCCUACCAAGGCGACGAUCCGUAGCCGGCCUGAGGAGGGCGGUCGGCCGACACUGACACUGACAUACGGGUCAGACUCCUACGGGAGG